UACGUCUCACGUAACUGGCGAAACACCAUGUACGCUCCAGCUUCCGGCGCGCAUGGCAAAGGUGGGUAACCACCGGGGAACGUGAGAUGUCACCCGCCGUUCGCCUGGGCAGCCAUC
rnacentral:ncRNA from 1 species